UACGGAGGGGGCUAGCGUUGUUCGGAAUUACUGGGCGUAAAGCGCACGUAGGCGGCUUUGUAAGUUAGAGGUGAAAGCCCGGGGCUCAACUCCGGAAUUGCCUUUAAGACUGUAUCGCUCGAAUUGUGGAGAGGUAAGUGGAAUUCCGAGUGUAGAGGUGAAAUUCGUAGAUAUUCGGAAGAACACCAGUGGCGAAGGCGACUUACUGGACACAUAUUGACGCUGAGGUGCGAAAGCGUGGGGAGCAAACAGG
rnacentral:rRNA from 1 species